UACAGGGGGGGCAAGCGUUGUUCGGAAUUACUGGGCGUAAAGGGCCAGUAGGCGGCCAACUAAGUCACACGUGAAAUCCCCAGGCUUAACCUGGGAACUGCGUGUGAUACUGGAUGGCUUGAAUUCGGGAGAGGGAUGCAGAAUUCCAGGUGUAGCGGUGAAAUGCGUAGAUAUCUGGAGGAAUACCGGUGGCGAAGGCGGCAUCCUGGACCGGCAUUGACGCUGAGGAGCGAAAGCCAGGGGAGCAAACGGG
rnacentral:rRNA from 1 species